CAGAGCAAAGCAUUAAGAUGCCUCCCCCUUACACUGGGAAGAUCCUUUGGUGCUCUGA
rnacentral:tRNA from 1 species